GACGAACGCUAGCGGCGUGCCUAAUGUAUGCAAGUCGAGCGGGGUGAGCGACUUCGGUCGCUUGCCUAGCGGCAAACGGUUGAGUAACACGUAGGCAACCUGCCCCAGAGGACGGGAUAGCCCGCCGAAAGGCGGAUUAAUACCGGAUGUGGCCGAGGAGGGCAUGCGUCCCUUGGGGCUAAAGGUGGCAACACGCUCUGGGAUGGGCCUGCGGCCUAUCAGCUAGUUGGGGGGUAACGGCUCACCAAGGCGACGACGGGUAGCUGGUCUGAGAGGAUGGUCAGCCAGACA
rnacentral:rRNA from 1 species